CAGCAGCCGCGGUAAUGCGUAGGGUGCGAGCGUUAAUCGGAAUUACUGGGCGUAGAGCGUGCGCAGGCGGUUGUGUAAGACAGGUGUGAAAUCCCCGGGCUUAACCUGGGAACUGCGCUUGUGACUGCACAGCUAGAGUAUGGCAGAGGGGGGUGGAAUUCCACGUGUAGCAGUGAAAUGCGUAGAGAUGUGGAGGAACACCGAUGGCGAAGGCAGCCCCCUGGGCCAAUACUGACGCUCACGCACGAAAGCGUGGGGAGCAAACAGGAUUAGAUACCCCCGUAGUCCCUGUCUCUUAUAC
rnacentral:rRNA from 1 species